CACACAGUGGAUUCUGUCAACACGCUCACUCCACCUGACCACAUGGAAACACUAUGCCCAUUACUUUGAAAGACUAGGUCCUUAUUUUGAAAGACUAGGUCCUUAUUUUGAAAGACUGUGCCAUUAUUUUGAAAGACUGACAUUAUUUUGAAAGACUAGGUCUUUAUUUUGAAAGACAAGGUCAUUAUUUUGAAAGACUAGGUCAUUAUUUUGAAAGACUAGGUCCUUAUUUUGAAAGACUAGGUCAUUAUUUUGAGAGACUCUGCAUUAUUUUGAAAAACCAUGCCAUUAUUUUGAAAGACUGACAUUAUUUUGAAAGACUAGGUCAUUAUUUUGAAAGACUAGGUCAUUAUUUUGAAAGACUAGGUCCUUAUUUUGAAAGACUGGGUCAUUAUUUUGUAAGACUAUGCCAUUAUUUUGAAAAACCAUGGCAUUAUUUUGAAAGACUGACAUUAUUUUGAAAGACUAGGUCCUUAUUUUGAAAGACUAGGUCAUUAUUUUGA